CUCACCCCACGGAGGCUGGGAUGCUGCAGACUCAGGGGCCGAGCACUCCUAGCUGAGCCACGACCUGCAGGGGCCAAGGCAGCAGGGCCCCGGCCACUUGAGGCAUCUGCACUGAACCCACCAAGGCCAAGCCCGUGGACCAGAGCUGCAAGGGAGCCGGGCAGCCAGGACCACCCCCUGGGGCCCUGCCAGGUGGGAAGGACACGUUAGGCCCCUAGAACCACUCCCACCCCACAUGGGUGCUCCCCCAGCCAACAGCGACCUUGGGCCCAGAGGCAGCGGCAGGCCUGGCUGACCACAGUGGGUAAAGGGCCAGCCGACCUGCCGAGGCAGGAAGCCUCCUUUAGGGAGGGAGAGCUGGCUGGGGCCUCCCUUUGAGCUCGCAUGCUUGUCAGAAAUAAACCCCCCAGGCGGGGAAAGCUAGCUCAAGAGCCCAACCCAGGCGGACGGAGGCCGAGGUGGGUGCAGGCAGAGAACACGGUGUCUGGGCCCCUGCCCCUGCCCCACGUCUCCUGGGCUGCGGCUGUGCGCCCCAGCUCACGCCUGGAGCCGCUGCACCUUCAGAGGGUGGGUCUCCCCCUCUCACCUGGGACAGAUGAAGGGCGGCGUGGGCACCUCCUCUGCGGUGCAGAUCCGCAGCUCCUCAAGAGUGGGGGCCCCAGAAAGACGAGAGGUUCUGUCUGCUGCCACAGGAAGUACGACAACAAAGGAUCAUUCUGAAACACUCUGGGGUCCUACCCAUCAAACGAUGCAGACCCUGUCAGCGGAGAGCACGUGCUCUCGAAACUGCUACAUGAGCACCGGCAAGCCUGCUGGAGCGACCCCGCGGGGGGCAUUCAGAUUCAGGAUGGGCCCAGGGACUGUCCUGAGGGGAACACGGCAGGCACAGGGGGUUUGUGUCCAAAGUUCAAGGGCAAAAGGCAAACAUACCGGCGGGUCUGAGAUGCACCCAAAGGGACCACAGACCGGCCUUGAGCCAGGACCUGGGCCUGGAGGCUGCCCGUCCGGAAUGGCAGAACCUGCUCUGACCCGGGUGCCCGAGGGCUCCAGUCUGUUCUAGUUCAAGGCAACUUCUCAGAUGUGAGGUUUAGCCCCCAACCACGAGUUCAUCCUACAUACGUGUGCUCAGCACGGAAAACAGGUUCAGCUGAACGCUUCUGUCUCAACAGUGAUGCUGAGAGAUACGGGCCUGACAGUGCGUCCGGCAGACGUGACUUCUGGGCGCCCGAGGCAACGCCUUCCCGAGCCCUCGGAGCGCAAGCACAUCAUUCCUCCUGCUGCCCCAGCCCAGCCAUGUGGGGGGAUUCGGCGAGGAUGCGUCUCUGCUUCCCGUCGGACAAGGAGGGCCCGGGAGGGUCGGAAGUGACACACCUCAGCCUGGUCGCCCACAAACAUCACCCAGCGCACGUGAUGGAGACAAACCUGGGAAGAGACAGCCUCGGAACACCGAGAACAGAAGCAGGAUCUCCAGCCAGGCCCGGGAGCCCAGCUCUGCCCCCGCACUGGGGCUCUGGGAAUGGAGUGGGCAGGGGGCAGCUCGGGCAGGCCCUGGCUGGACCGUUGCGGUGUGUGCUUCACCGAGAGAGGAUGCCCUCGUCCGAGCUGUUCCUCGGAUGCUGACCAAACGGAGCCCAGGGACUUUCGGCAUCAGCACCUCUGCCCCCCAACGUCACCAGGCGUUUCCUGCCUCGAGGUUUAGCCCGGGGUGUGAACCCAAAUCCCACGGCUGGAGCUGGCCAAGUGGGCUGUGCCCCAGAACACGCUCAUCCCAGGCAUCCUCCAACCUAAUUCCACCUCCAGUACUGAGCUUGAUCCAACUGAAACAGAAGAUGCAAAACCCCUCACACAGGGGCCCAAGUGCCUCUGGGGGAAGGUCCUCAAAGACAAGGACCAGCCCCCCGCUGGCCUGGACGGGUGACCACUGGCCAGCCACGGGCAAGAGCUGGGGCUUCCGCAAACCCACUGGGCCGAGCACAGCACCAAGGUAAGCAGGACCUCGUGCCUCUGGAAGCCCACGGUGACCUCCCAACUCCAAAUCCAGGAGUCUGGACCCUUGCUCAGCGGCCCUGCGCUCUUCUCUGCUGGAUUCAAGAAUCCACUCAGAGCCCUGCCCACC